CCUACGGUGGGCUGCAGUGAGGAAUAUUGGUCAAUGGGCUUACGCCUGAACCAGCCAAGUCGCGUGAGGAAAGACUGCCCUAUGGGUUGUAACCUCUUUUGUCAGGGAGCAACGCCGGCUACGUGUAGCCGGACUGAGAGUACCUGAAGAAAAAGCAACGGCUAAAUCCGUGCCAGCAGCCGCGGUAAUACGGAGGAUGCGAGCGUUUUCCGGUUUCAUUGGGUUUAACGGGGGCGCAGGCGGGCCUUUAAGCCGGCGGUGAAAUCGCGGGGCUCAAACCCGCCGAGCCGUCGGAACUGGGGGCCUGGAGUGCGGCGGAGGCAUGCGGAAUGCGCGGUGUAGCGGUGAAAUGCAUAGAUAUCGCGCAGAACCCCGAUUGCGAAGGCAGCGUGCCGUGCCGCCACUGACGCUGAGGCACGAAAGCGCGGGGAUCGAACAGGAUUAGAUACCCGAGUAGUC
rnacentral:rRNA from 1 species